rnacentral:rRNA from 1 species
AACGAACGCUUGCGGCAGGCUUAACACAUGCAAGUCGAACGCAUCGCAAGAUGAGUGGCAGACGGGUGAGUAACGCGUGGGAACAUACCCUUUUCUACGGAAUAGCUCUGGGAAACUGGAAUUAAUACCGUAUACGCUCUACGGGGCAACGAUUGAUCGGGGAAGGAUUGGCCCGCGUUGGAUUAGCUGGUUGGUGGGGUAAAGGCCUACCAAGGCGACGAUCCAUAGAUGGUCUGAGAGGAUGAUCAGCCACAUUGGGACUGAGACACGGCCCAAACUCCUACGGGAGGCAGCAAUGGGGAAUAUUGGACAAUGGGCGCAAGCCUGAUCCAGCCAUGCCGCGUGAGUGAUGAAGGCCUUAGGGUUGUAAAGCUCUUUCACCGAUGAAGAUAAUGACGGUAGUCGGAGAAGAAGCCCCGGCUAACUUCGUGCCAGCCGCCGCAGUAAUAC